AUCCAGCUGACGAGUCUCAAAUGGGACGAAUAGCGUUUCCUGCAU
rnacentral:hammerhead_ribozyme from 1 species